CUGACGGAGCAAGACCGCGUGGGGGACGAUGGUUCUUGGAUUGUCAACCCCUUUUCUCAGGGAAGAACACAAUGACGGUACCUGAGGAAAAAGCAUCGGCUAACUCCGUGCCAGCAGCCGCGGUAAUACGGGGGAUGCAAGCGUUAUCCGGAAUGAUUGGGCGUAAAGAGUCCGUAGGUAGUCAUCCAAGUCUGCUGUUAAAGAGCGAGGCUUAACUUCGUAAAGGCAGUGGAAACUGGAAGACUAGAGUGUAGUAGGGGCAGAGGGAAUUCCUGGUGUAGCGGUGAAAUGCGUAGAGAUCAGGAAGAACACCGGUGGCGAAGGCGCUCUGCUGGGCUAUAACUGACACUGAGGGACGAAAGCUAGGGGAGCGAAUGGGAUUAGAUACCCCAGUAGUCCUAGCGGUAAACGAUGGAAACUAGGUGUGGCCUGUAUCGACCCGGGCCGUGCCGAAGCAAACGCGUUAAGUUUCCCGCCUGGGGAGUACGCACGCAAGUGUGAAACUCAAAGGAAUUGACGGGGGCCCGCACAAGCGGUGGAGUAUGUGGUUUAAUUCGAUGCAACGCGAAGAACCUUACCAGGACUUGACAUCUCUGGAAUCUCCUUGAAAGGGGAGAGUGCCGUAAGGAACCAGAAGACAGGUGCUGCAUGGCUGUCGUCAGCUCGUGUCGUGAGAUGUUGGGUUAAGUCCCGCAACGAGCGCAACCCUCGUCGUUAGUUGCCAUCAUUAAGUUGGGAACUCUAGCGAGACUGCCGGUGACAAACCGGAGGAAGGUGAGGAUGACGUCAAGUCAGCAUGGCCCUUACGUCCUGGGCGACACACGUACUACAAUGCGAGGGACACAGAGCAGCCAACCCGCGAGGGAGAGCGAAUCUCACAAACCCUGGCACAGUUCAGAUUGCAGGCAGCAACUCGCCUGCGUGAAGGCCCAAUCGCAAGUAAUCGCA
rnacentral:rRNA from 1 species